AUCCAGACCGGGGAUGGAAUUCACAACCUAGAUAUGUGUCCUGACUGGGAAUUGAAUCCCCAGAUCCUGGAAAAACUAUCUCCAGCAUCAUCUCCUCCUAUGGUCUUCCCCUAGUAGGAGCAUCCAUGGAGGACAAAAGAGGUCCAGCAGACUCGAAGCCCACAAAUGAGGAAUAUGCAGUAUAUGUGGCCCGUUAACCAGGAUACAGGCAUCUUAGCACACUUCAGCUGGGACACAUGACCAUAACCAUGGACCAGAGUCACCCCUAAUGCCAGGAUCCAGCAUAGGACCCCAGAACUUACAUUCUGGAAAGCCUUAAAGAGCUGUUACCAAGGGAAGGCCUACUG